rnacentral:tRNA from 6 species
GUCCAGAUGGAGAAAUUGGCAAACUCGCUACCUUGAGGUGGUAGUGCCGAAAGGCUUGGGGGUUCAAGUCCCCCUCUGGACACAA